AACGCAAAUAGCGCUCCCGGGAAGCCCCGGGAGCGUGCCUGUUCGAGCGUCGGCCACAAACAAUCGCCAUCAGCGUCCGAAAGGGGUGAUGUGCGGAGUUGACAGUUCGUAGCCUUGUGCUCCGAUCUGUUUAAGUACGGGCCCUCGGGCAACAUGCGUCCUUCGUGCAAUAAUACGAAACUGGAUGCGGUUUUGAUAAUGGUAUUCGUACCUCUUCGACCGCUCCGACCUCGUGAGUGCGACUCGGCCGUGUGUUGUUCGGGAAAAGCCUCCCCCCGAUACCGCAAGGUAUCGGAACAAAUUCUAUUCUCGACCUCGAAUUAGGCAAGGCUACCCGCUGAAUUUAA
rnacentral:misc_RNA from 1 species